AGAGAGUAGUCUGAAAGGAUUAGAAGAUCGAAGGGAAUGGAAGCUUUCAGAAGGAGGAAGGGUCAGGUCUGUCUUGGACAACUCACCCCACAGAAGCAAGAGGGAGGCUGUUCCAGUAACUUCUGUGGGAGGCCUAGCUGGGAUGCCAUCAUCAGGCACAACCCCUGUUCCCAGGCAGGAUUUCAGCCCAUUUCAAGGACUAACUCAGCUCCAGCCUCUAGAGCUUUGAUCUGCUUGAAAACUCAGACAUCAGUAAGGCGGUUAAGUUUAUAUAUUGAAUCAUAUGAAGUAUGGAUUAUGCAGAACGGCCCACCUCUAGUUUUGAGUGAAAGGAGGUCAACAUUUUACAGGACUUUACAGGACAGAACCUUAAGUACUGCAAGAGUUCCUGACACCAGUGAAUGAGUCCAUGCAGCAGAUCAUAAACACAUCACCAAGUCAUGAUUUUGGAACAUCACUUCCUGCUGAUACCUAAAUAUUAA